rnacentral:tRNA from 1 species
GCCGUCGUAGCUCAAUCGGUAGAGCGGCUGUUUUGUAAUCAGUUGACGGGGGUUCGAUUCCCUCCGACGGCC